rnacentral:rRNA from 1 species
GACGAACGCUGGCGGCGUGCUUAACACAUGCAAGUCGAACGGAAAGGCCCUGCUUUUGUGGGGUGCUCGAGUGGCGAACGGGUGAGUAACACGUGAGUAACCUGCCCUUGACUUUGGGAUAACUUCAGGAAACUGGGGCUAAUACCGGAUAGGAGCUCCUGCUGCAUGGUGGGGGUUGGAAAGUUUCGGCGGUUGGGGAUGGACUCGCGGCUUAUCAGCUUGUUGGUGGGGUAGUGGCUUACCAAGGCUUUGACGGGUAGCCGGCCUGAGAGGGUGACCGGCCACAUUGGGACUGAGAUACGGCCCAGACUCCUACGGGAGGCAGAAGUGGGGAAUAUUGCACAAUGGGUGGAAGCCUGAUGCAGCAACGCCGCGUGCGGGAUGACGGCCUUCGGGUUGUAAACCGCUUUCGCCUGUGACGAAGCGUGAGUGACGGUAAUGGGUAAAGAAGCACCGGCUAACCACGUG